CUUCCUUCAGGAGAUGGGUUCUUGCUCAGAGCAUCCACUUCCCUCUUCUUCCUCCUCAACAGGGUUCAAAGGAAGUUGGGAUCCCUUCGGAGGUCCUGGAGGAGGGGGCGGCCCGGGCCCUCGAUACAGAGAGUGUCCAUGAGCCCCCUCAGAAGACAUCAACGGACUCCGAAGCGGCAACGCUGGCUGACAUCCCCAGCCUGGAGGAUGAGGUAUGGGACCCUCUCCCCAGUUCAAGCAGGUGCGUUGCUCUUUGCCAGGAGGGGUGACCGUUGCCUCCCUUCUUGUCCUACCAGGUCUCACCUCUUGUGCCUCUCCUCCAGCUCCAUAGGACCCAGCGAAGAUGAAGAUCCUGCCCUGCACCCUAGGAGAUGGUCCUCCCUGGACCCAGAACAGGUAAUGCUCAGAGUUCCCCCUGGUGAGGCCUGCAGCCACCACCAAGGAGGCAUCGCCCAACGCCUUUCUUAGGAUGCCCCAUCGACCUUCUAGGUGGCAGGUUUAUCCAGAGAUGUCCAGCCUUCAGGUAGGCUGCUCUUCUCAGCUCCUGCCAUUCCCCAGUGGUCUCUUUGGCCACUGGACCACAAUGCCCAGUUCCUUCCAAGAUAGGAUCACACACACAUUCACCUGCCACUGCUCUCCCUGCACUUUUGGCCCAGGAGCCUUUCCAUGGCUGCCAGGUGCCAUUGUUUCUCUUCUUUUUUCUUCUUCACAGGCAAAACAACACCUGCACCAUCUUUGCCUGCUGGUCUGCAGUUCCUCCUCUGCAGAGGUCACGCAGGCAGUGGAUUAUGUGGCCUGAAAACAUCUAAAGAUGGCCACGGACCACUUUCUGGAGUCCGAUGGGAGGUAAGAGAGCUGGGCCCGGGGGUGCCACUCCCCUAUCCCCAGGGGGCCCUGAGCGGUCUCCCCAUAGCGUUGGAGCCAAGGUUGACCCUGACUAUGGCUCCCUCUUCCCUUUCUUCAUUCACAGGGCAUGCAGUGAAUUAGUAAGCGCCGUACUCAAUUCACCCUAUUGUUGCCUGGAAGCGGCGCUGGACCUGUUCCUGGCCAAGGUGAAGGAGGGACCUUGGCUGGCCCAGGAGGGCAAGGAACAGGGCAACCCUACUUUUGAUGCGGCCACGGCAAGAGCGACGCGGGCCAUCGGCGGGAUCGUCAGACACAUCAGGGACAGCACGUGCCUGGAGGGGUGGUUCCUGGAGCUUCUGCUCGCCUUGGUGACCAACUUCAUCGAGGUCACAAGGCCUGGGUUGGAGGCACCCAGCAGGAACCGGAGCAACAGCUACGUUCCUCCAGAGUAAGGAGAGGGUGGGGAG
rnacentral:lncRNA from 11 species